rnacentral:misc_RNA from 1 species
UGCGGCUGGAUCCCCUCCUUAACGAAAGCUGCAUCCCCCAAGCGUUCACUUCUAUUACUUGAUCAUACAGCACGAGAUUACGUGUCUCUGGCUUUCGUGGCGACAGCCCCGACUGGGUUCAAGCUCUUUCGAAUACCGGAUUCGGGUGUGUAGCUCAGGUGGUUAGAGCGCGUCCCUGAUAAGGACGAGGUCGGUGGUUCGAGUCCACCCAUACCCACCAAUCUCUGCUGAACAUUUUGAAAAGAUUUGUUAUUCGAUUCAAAAAAAUCAAAUAACGAAAAGUUCUUUAACAAUACGAGAGAGAAAGCGUUGUCACUGAUUCGUGACUGAGGAAGUCCGCAAGGAUUCUGAAGUGAGGAGAGGUAAUAACGAUGAAGUACUGUACAAGCGCAUUGAAAGUUAAUGCAUGUGUGCUUAUUGGCGAGGCUGCCCGGAUUAAAAGGGUCCGGGAUCAAACAGCCGUUGUUACGACAUAGAACGGAAGUCUUCAGUCGCAAGCGGGAGUUUGCGGUGAGAGUCUGAGGUUAUAUGGUCAAGUGAAUAAGCGUACGUGGUGGAUGCCUUGGCAGCCAGAGGCGAAGAAGGACGUUGUAGACUGCGAAAAGCAUCGGGGAGCCGUCAAACAGGCGUUGAUCCGGUGAUGUCCGAAUGGGGAAACCCGG